rnacentral:rRNA from 1 species
CAAUAGCGUAUAUUAAAGUUGUUGCAGUUAAAAAGCUCGUAGUUGGAUUUCUGGUAGGAGUGACCGUUCCGAACUUGAUUGUUCGUGUAUUGUGUUUUCUCCAGCCAUCCUUGUGGAGAACUUUUCUUGCAUUAAUUUGUAGGGAUUGGGACCCGCAUCGUUUACUGUGAAAAAAUUAGAGUGUUUAAGGCAGGCAAUCGCUUGAAUACAUUAGCAUGGAAUAAUAAGAUAGGACUUUGGUACUAUUUUGUUGGUUUGCAUACCAAAUUAAUGAUCAACAGGAACAGUUUGAGGAUAUUCGUAUGAACAUGUCAGAGGUGAAAUUCUUGGAUUUUGAUCAGACGAACUACUGCGAAAGCAUUUAUCAAGGAUGUUUUCAUUAA